GUAAGCAGUUCUCUCCAUACCUUGUAUCCAAUCUUAUAUAUCAAAUUUAUGCAAAUAGUAGCUGCUAAGCACAUCUGCCCGAAAUGUGUGAACAAAAGAUGAAUCGCACAAAACAAUUUACAAUUCUAUUGCUUCUGGAUUAACCUAGCUUUGUUUCAAGAUGUCAAUCAAAGAUCAUUGUAAAAGAAACCCUUAGAAAUUAGAAUAAUAGGCUUUCUCAAAGAGAGUGGUAGACAAAGUAGGAGGAAAACUUUAUGCUUUAGUUGUUAGAAUUUCUGACAAUUUAUGGGUCACAAAUAUAAUUCUAUAAUUGUGUUAUGACCAUUAUGUAAUUAGUCAAAAUAUAAAAUGAUCUUUAGUAAUUAAUUUGGUGGCUAAUGGCAUAUGUGUCAUGAAAUAAUAAUAAGUGUAGAUACCUUCAGGCAAUUUCUGAUUUGAUGAAGGGACUGAAUCAGAAUUAUUGCAACUAAAGUAGUAACCACUACGGGGUUACUUUUAUGGGUUAUGGUCCCCAUUUGUAGAGCAACAGGUUUUCAAGUGUAAAGGUGGAGGAGAAUAAGGAAGGAUGAGAAUAGUGUUAUCCAUGAUGAGAUAACACUAUCCACUCAUCCAUAAGGCACAUAAGGCAUGAGGAUAAGG
rnacentral:lncRNA from 1 species